rnacentral:tRNA from 1 species
GAGGAUAUAGCUCAGAGGUAGAGUGCAUGCUUAGCAUGCAUGAGGUCCUGGGUUCAAUCCCCAGUACCUCCA